rnacentral:rRNA from 1 species
CCUACGGGAGGCAGCAGUGAGGAAUAUUGGUCAAUGGGCGCGAGCCUGAACCAGCCAAGUCGCGUGAGGGAGGACGGCCCUACGGGUUGUAAACCUCUUUUGCCGGGGAGCAACGGGCGUCACGUGUGGCGCCCCUGAGAGUACCCGGAGAAAAAGCAUCGGCUAACUCCGUGCCAGCAGCCGCGGUAAUACGGAGGAUGCGAGUGUUAUCCGGUUUUAUUGGGGUUAAAGGGUGCGUAGGCGGAUCGUUAAGUCAGUGGUCAAAUUGAGGGGCUCAACCCCUUCCCGCCAUUGAAACUGGCGCUCUUGAGUGGAAGAGAAGUAUGCGGAAUGCGUGGUGUAGCGGUGAAAUGCAUAGAUAUCACGCAGAACCCCGAUUGCGAAGGCAGCAUGCCGGCUUCCGACUGACGCUGAAGCACGAAAGCGUGGGGAUCGAACAGGAUUAGAUACCCGAGUAGUC